CAACGGAAGUAACGAACCGCUGCUUAGUUUGCAGACCGCUCCCCAGAUUCAGACAACACCCACAACGAUACCAGAAAUUGUGUUUACCGAUUUCUCAACUCGAGAUGACUUUGAAGCCGAUCUGGGCCUGGGCCAGAUGGACUUUCAGAGCUUUCAGAUGCUUUCCGACACUGGUGCCAUGAUCGAUCCGAUGGACGAAGACAGCUUUCGGCGCGAGCUUCAGUGAGACGACCUGCAAGGGGACGGUGAGGACGACUAUCGCACCGAUGAGAUGACAAGGUUACAAGCUUUCGUUACGUUGCUUUAAGUUUGACGAUUAUUUCGUUUCGGAACAAUCAAUAAAACGGAGGACGGAAAUCCUACGCGGUUUAGCGGUAGGAAGCUUUCUUUCUGAAAGAAGAAGGUAUUAUUUCUCUAAGAGAUUGGUUCAUUUCUAUGCGAAUCAAGCUUUUAGAACUUUGCAAACGAAAGUGAAUCGAAAGUGCAGUACUAGAAACCGGCUAGAGAAUUUUAUAAGGUUUUAACCUAUAAGGAGGAAACGCUAUUUGAGAUACAAUGAACUUAACGUGUAAGUUUAACAAUAGUGAUAGUGGCAGGCAAAAGGUGAAUAGAGUAUAGGGCAAGAUAUUGUACGCGAGAGCAGAGAGCGCAUGGGCAAUUGUACGAAUUUAGGAUAGUGUCUUGUGUAUGAGAGAGUGGAAUUUUUGAUAGAUUUCAUGAUGAAAAAGCACAAA